CCUACGGGCGGCAGCAGUGAGGAAUAUUGGUCAAUGGGCGCGAGCCUGAACCAGCCAAGUAGCGUGAAGGAUGACUGCCCUACGGGUUGUAAACUUCUUUUAUAAAGGAAUAAAGUGAGGCACGUGUGCCUUUUUGUAUGUACUUUAUGAAUAAGGAUAGGCUAACUCCGUGCCAGCGGCCGCGGUAAUACGGAGGAUCCGAGCGUUAUCCGGAUUUAUUGGGUUUAAAGGGUGCGUAGAGGGGUUGUUAAGUCAGUUGUGAAAGUUUGCGGCUCAACCGUAGAAUUGCAGUUGAUACUGGAAGUCUUGAGUACAGUUGAGGUAGGCGGAAUUCGUGGUGUAGCGGUGAAAUGCUUAGAUAUCAUGAAGAACUCCGAUUGCGAAGGCAGCUUACUAGACUGCCACUGACAUUGAGGCUCGAAAGUGUGGGUAUCAAACAGGAUUAGAUACCCGAGUAGUC
rnacentral:rRNA from 1 species